UACGAAGGGGGCUAGCGUUGUUCGGAAUUACUGGGCGUAAAGCGCGCGCAGGCGGUUUUUCAAGUCAGUGGUGGAAGCCCGGGGCUCAACUCCGGAAUUGCCUUUAAAACUGCAUCGCUAGAAUUGUGGAGAGGUAAGUGGAAUUCCGAGUGUAGAGGUGAAAUUCGUAGAUAUUCGGAAGAACACCGAUGGCGAAGGCAGCCAUCUGGACCGACACUGACGCUGAGGCGCGAAAGCGUGGGGAGCAAACAGG
rnacentral:rRNA from 1 species